AUUUCCAAUCAGCAUCUUCACCUGAGCAGCAGCAGCAGGAUAAGUGGAGCUGUUUUUGAUUGUGGGGGAACUGGGGAACAUAAAAUUUAGAGAUCUCCCUUUGACCAAUACUAUAGGAGUCUACACCCAGUCCCAGCCAACAUGGACAGUGAGCAAGAAUGGUGGGAAGGGUAAUCCAACAGAGGCUGACAGAUUUAAGGUUCUCUGUUCCUGCUGUUGUCAAUGCUUCCCCAUCAUGUGGGGGGAAGCAUCACCAAAGCCACGUGGAUCCGUGCCAGCUCUAUUGGAGCCAGCACAAGAUGAAAAGCCUCCCAUGUUGAGAGGGAAGCAUCAUACCAUACUUCCAUGGUUUGUGGACAGGCCUCUGCUGGAAAUCCAGUGAUGUCAUGGGAUAGGAAGCAUGCCCAUCCAUCGCUGGACUGGUGGGGAAGUGUCCUAGGACACUUAAAAAUCCCUGUGUGAUGAGGUCAUACGUCUGAGGGUAUAAAGACUGGAUGAAUAAGUGAUGCUGAGCGAUGUAAUGCAAUGAAAUGAAUUUCCGAAGCUCUGUGUAUAUGAUGUAUGUAUGAUUUUGAUCCAGUUUUCUGCUGUCAUUCAGUCUGUGAAAAUUUGAU
rnacentral:lncRNA from 11 species